CGUUGCUCGGAAUCAUUGGGCGUAAAGCGCACGUAGGUGGCCUGUUAAGUCGGGUGUGAAAUCCCUGGGCUCAACCCAGGAAGUGCACUCGAAACUGGCAGGCUUGAGUACUGAAGAGGGUCGCGGAAUUCCCGGUGUAGAGGUGAAAUUCGUAGAUAUUCGCAAGAACACCAGUGGCGAAGACGGCUCACUGGCCCGGUACUGACGCUGAGAUACGAAAGCGUGGGGAGCAAACAGG
rnacentral:rRNA from 1 species